CCUGUGGGAGCGGAGCGCAGAUCAGCACCGGGCGACUCGGCCCUCCUCCUCUCCUCCCUCCCCCUUAACCCCGGUCCUCCCCGCCUCCAACUGGGCAGAGCGCGCCUGCGGGUGGGCUCUGGAAGCCAAGUGCAAACCCUCCAACACAAAGUUCACGGCCACCGGGGCAGGGCCUGGCUGGGCAGGGCGCUCCGGGCAGCAGCUGCCCCCCGCAGGCCCGCGCCGGGACAGCGCGGUCCUCAGCCUGGAGGCCGCUCGGGGACCCCGCCGAGCCGCGGGCCCACCUGUGACGAGGAUUACAGAGACACAACACUGCUUCUCAUUUAACACUAUCUUCUUGCUGAAUGGUCUGGGACAUUUCCUGCUCUAAGCCACUCAGGUACCAGCACCUGAUCUGUGGGCUUGGUUACCCACUCAAGUGUCAGCACCGUGGACCACCUCGUCUGUGCACGGGGUACCCAGGUUGAAAUGAGACAGUCACCUGCUUUCGGAGCGGAUGUGGUCAGAUGCCUGCCUGCCUGCCUGCCUGCCUGCCGCCAUGCUUCUCACCGUGAUGCUCUGGGACGAGUCUCUGAAACCGUAGUCUCCCCAUAAACUCUGCUUCUACAAAUCACGUUAGUGCCUAAAUAUGUCGCCUUGGUCAGGUGUUCUACCUCAGCAACGGACAAGUAACGAAUGACGCUCAAAGGAGAGACUCGAGUGUCUUAGUAUUAAGUUGUCAUCAUUUUGGUUACUCUCAAGUUACAUCUCAAAGGCUCACUAAAGAUUCUCUCUCCCUCACCCCUCCUCCACCUCUCCCUUGUUCCUCUCUGAGAUGAGGUCCCAUGUAACCAAAGAUGACCUUGAACUUCUAAUCCUCCUGCCUUCACCUCCCAAGCGCUGGGCUCACAGCUCUGCACCACCACACAGUUGGUGGUGUUGAAGCCGGGACUCAGGGCUUCGUGAUGAUGGAGGCCAAACAUGCUACCAAUUGCGCCAUACCCCACCCGGCUAGUUUUUGAUAAACGAUUCCACAGGAUAGCUAUGGAGGUAACUUGCAUGGAGUCGAACUCUGAUAAGGUGAAACAGGGAAGCCCUGUGGCUGCACGGGGCUUUAGCACACACCUUUUACUGUAGUGGAGUUUCUGGGGAGAUUCCUACAAAAUGCAGGUUACAGCUGGGAAGGGAGAAAGGCCUUCAGGAGGUGCGGCUCCUUGUGCUGGAAUUUUUACUUCUUAGCUGGAGAGAGGCUGCAAGCAGGAGCCUGGAGGAGGGAUCGUUUCCGUUCACAGGUCCCCACAAUGUCCCUGGCUUUGUGUCCUUCUCAUUGCAGACAAGAAGUUAAAACUCUAGGUGUGGGGGUUGGGGAUUUAGCUCAGUGGUAGAGCGCUUGCCUAGCAAGCGCAAGGCCCUGGGUUCGGUCCCCAGCUCCGGAAAAACAAAACAAAACAAAACACUGCAUUAAAAAAACUCCAGGUGUGGAGGGCCUCAUUCCCUCCAAAGGUUCUUGGAAACCACCCUUCCCUGUCAUUCUAGAAUAUAGUGACUCCAGGUUCCUGGGCACACGUAACUGAAAUGUCCUUAGCUCUCUCCUCGUGACUCUCUAGGUCCCUUCCUCUUAUAAGGACACCAGGCAUUGUUUGCAUUUAGGGCUCAAGCUUGAUACAGAAUGACAUUGUCAUUUCCACGCACACAUUCCCUUCCCUUACCCCUCCCACAGUGCACCCUUGUA
rnacentral:sRNA from 1 species